rnacentral:lncRNA from 1 species
CCGUCACCCAACUGCUCACCUGCAAAACAGAGCAAACACGCAAAGAAACAGGCAACACAAAAGAGGAGCAAAUAUUUUUCUAUUUUGAUUUUCGGAUAUAAAGCCGAAAGAGGUGGUAAAAAAAAAAGGGGGAGGAGAAAACCGAUCUGGAGGUUUUGUAAAAAAGGGAGUCUCUUCCUCGUUUUUUUUACAAGCAUUAUUUAGAAAUAAAAAGAACAAAAAGAAACAGAUUUAAAACAAAAACAUUCAAGGUGACCUUUCUUUUUUUUUUAUACGCACUUAUUUUUUCAUUUUAUUUUAUUUUCUCUCCUAAAAACAAUAUAUAUUAGUACAAGAGUAUUUAAAUAAAAAAAUAAAAUUUUUACCCUUUUUUGAAAUUUUCGGCCACCGUACACGGUGGCCGGCGCGACACCGACUCUGCGGCGACGUGGCGGCCCUGUUCACCGGUUUCUGGGCUCUGGCCGGAGGAGGGGAGAGAGUUUCUGGUGUUUUUCUUUGGGAAGAAAGAAAAAAAUGAAAAUUAUGAAAAAAAUUUGGCUUUUAUAGCCUUUGCAAAACGGCGCCGUUUUGGGAGGGUCAGGUAAGCCCCAAAACGACGUCGUUUUGGGCUCCUGACCCGACGUCCGACCCGCUCCAGGCCAAGAUCGGCGUGUUUUUGAGCGGAAGGGCUAAUUGCGCUUUAAGCCCUUCCGCUUUAAAAUGAUUUUGCAAUCAAGUUCUCUUUUGUUUUAAUUUCGCACUGUAAUCUAUAUUUCUUUAUAAUCUGGUCCACCAUGAAGCUCUGCGUUUAGGAGGGGCGGGAUUAUUUCCCAUUUGGUCCCUCCUUGUCAUUCGCCCCUUCAUUGUGG